AGUGAACGCUGGCGGUAGGCCUAACACAUGCAAGUCGAACGGCAGCACAGUAAGAGCUUGCUCUUACGGGUGGCGAGUGGCGGACGGGUGAGGAAUACAUCGGACUCUACUUUUUCGUGGGGGAUAACGUAGGGAAACUUACGCUAAUACCGCAUACGACCUACGGUUGAAAGCAGGUGAUCUUCGGACCUUGCGCGAUUGAAUGAGCCGAUGUCGGAUUAGCUAGUUGGCGGGGUAAAGGCCCACCAAGGCGACGAUCCGUAGCUGGUCUGAGAGGAUGAUCAGCCACACUGGAACUGAGACACGGUCCAGACUCCUACGGGAGGCAGCAGUGGGGAAUAUUGGACAAUGGGCGCAAGCCUGAUCCAGACAUACCGCGUGGGUGAAGAAGGCCUUCGGGUUGUAAAGCCCUUUUGUUGGGAAAGAAAAGCAGCAGGUUAAUACCCCGCUGUUCUGACGGUACCCAAAGAAUAAGCACCGGCUAACUUCGUG
rnacentral:rRNA from 1 species